rnacentral:rRNA from 1 species
GAUGAACGCUGGCGGCGUGCUUAACACAUGCAAGUCGAACGAAGCACCUUAUUCUGAUUUCUUCGGAAUGAAAAAUUUGGUGACCGAGUGGCGGACGGGUGAGUAACGCGUGGGUAACCUGCCUCAUACAGGGGGAUAACAGUUAGAAAUGACUGCUAAUACCGCAUAAGACCACAGCACCGCAUGGUGCAGGGGUAAGAACUCCGGUGGUAUGAGAUGGACCCGCGUCUGAUUAGGUAGUUGGUGGGGUAACGGCCUACCAAGCCGACGAUCAGUAGCCGACCUGAGAGGGUGACCGGCCACAUUGGGACUGAGACACGGCCCAAACUCCUACGGGAGGCAGCAGUGGGGAAUAUUGCACAAUGGGGGAAACCCUGAUGCAGCGACGCCGCGUGAGCGAUGAAGUAUUUCGGUAUGUAAAGCUCUAUCAGCAGGGAAGAAAAUGACGGUACCUGACUAAGAAGCACCGGCUAAAUACGUGCCAGCAGCCGCAGUAA